rnacentral:lncRNA from 1 species
UUCAAAAUUUUAUAUUUGAACAAAAAAGUGAACUUUUGUAAUUUUAUCUGAAUGAGAAAAUGUUUAAAUGGAAAGUAAAUAUUAUAUCUCAAAGUUAUCUCUAUUUAACAAACUUAUUUCCUAAAUUAUAAAACCUCUUUUUCUUUUUUAAUUUAGAAGGACAUAAAUAUCCAAUAAUUAUGUUAAAGAUUUUUUUAUCUAUAAAAACGAAUAAGAUAUCCCUUUUAUUCAGAUAUUAGAAAAUUAAAAUAAACAUAUUAUUAAGAAACUUGUAUUAAGAUCCAUUUAAACUUUAGAAAAAUUAAAAGUCAUUUAGACUUUUGAAAAAAGUUUAAACUUACUCAUAUUUCAGACAAACAAAGUAAACACUAUUUAGCAAAACAAAAUAUUAUUAUUUUUUAUUUUAUUAUAUAUUUCCCUGCUCUUCUCUCUUUUCUCUCUUUUCUCGUUGACAAUCACCCUCAUCACUUUAUCAACAAGAAGUUCAUCACUACCACCAUCUAUCUUCUUCAUUAUCAAUUAAUCCCAAAGGUGGCCAAUAGGGCAAGCGGCACGUGGCAUGUGGCAUGACAUGACACGAGCACAUUUUGACAAGGCAUGCGGCACAACACGGCACGCACGUGGGCCAAGCCGGGCUCAAAUUGUUAGGCAUUUAGGCCUUAAAAUCAUGGCACAUGAAAAAUCAUGUAAUAAGCAUGCUUCACUGGUGGGUUAGCACGCAACCCGUUGCCUAAAAUAAAUGAAAGUAAUUUUUUUAAUAAAAAGUAAAAAUAAAAUGUUAUGAUUUUACAA